rnacentral:rRNA from 1 species
UAACACAUGCAAGUCGAACGUGAAGCCAUCCUUCGGGGUGGUGGAAAGUGGCGCACGGGUGAGUAACGCAUGGGAACCUACCCAGCGGUACGGAAUAACCACGGGAAACUGUGGCUAAUACCGUAUACGUCCUUCGGGAGAAAGAUUUAUCGCCGUUGGAGGGGCCCGCGUCGGAUUAGGUAGUUGGUGGGGUAAAGGCCUACCAAGCCGACGAUCCGUAGCUGGUCUGAGAGGAUGAUCAGCCACACUGGGACUGAGAUACGGCCCAGACUCCUACGGGAGGCAGCAGUGGGGAAUAUUGGACAAUGGGCGAAAGCCUGAUCCAGCAAUGCCGCGUGAGUGAAGAAGGCCUUAGGGUUGUAAAGCUCUUUCACCGGGGAAGAUAAUGACGGUACCCGGAGAAGAAACCCCGGCUAACUCCGUGCCAGCAGCCGCGGUAAUACGGAGGGGGCUAGCGUUGUUCGGAAUUACUGGGCGUAAAGCGCGCGUAGGCGGCCUGUCAAGUUGGGCGUGAAAGCCCGGGGCUCAACCCCGGAAUUGCGUUCAAAACUGGCAAGCUAGAGACCGAGAGAGGUGAGUGGA